ACACUUCCUUGGCAGAGGAGAUACCAUUAUCAUGAAGGUGAGUUUCCAGGAUGAGGCUUAUUCAUUGCACUCUGGAUAUGCCGAACCCUGCAUUUUCUCCAAAUGUGGACAGCUCGACUGCAUAAUUUGUGGUGGUAAGGGGCUGCAUUCACUUUCCCCUA